rnacentral:rRNA from 1 species
GAUGAACGCUGGCGGCGUGCCUAAUACAUGCAAGUCGAGCGAACGGACGAGAAGCUUGCUUCUCUGAUGUUAGCGGCGGACGGGUGAGUAACACGUGGAUAACCUACCUAUAAGACUGGGAUAACUUCGGGAAACCGGAGCUAAUACCGGAUAAUAUUUUGAACCGCAUGGUUCAAAAGUGAAAGACGGUCUUGCUGUCACUUAUAGAUGGAUCCGCGCUGCAUUAGCUAGUUGGUAAGGUAACGGCUUACCAAGGCAACGAUGCAUAGCCGACCUGAGAGGGUGAUCGGCCACCCUGGAACUGAGACACGGUCCAGACUCCUACGGGAGGCAGCAGUAGGGAAUCUUCCGCGAUGGGCGAAAGCCUGACGGAGCAACGCCGCGUGAGUGAUGAAGGUCUUCGGAUCGUAAAACUCUGUUAUUAGGGAAGAACAUAUGUGUAAGUAACUGUGCACAUCUUGACGGUACCUAAUCAGAAAGCCACGGCUAACUACGUG